rnacentral:rRNA from 1 species
UACGUAGGGGGCAAGCGUUAUCCGGAUUUACUGGGUGUAAAGGGAGCGUAGACGGUUAAUCAAGUCAGAAGUGAAAACCCAGGGCUCAACCUUGGGACUGCUUUUGAAACUGAGUAGCUAGAGUGCAGGAGAGGUAAGCGUAAUUCCUAGUGUAGCGGUGAAAUGCGUAGAUAUUAGGAGGAACACCAGUGGCGAAGGCGGCUUACUGGACUGUAACUGACGUUGAGGCUCGAAAGCGUGGGGGGCAAACAGG